rnacentral:tRNA from 1 species
UCCCUAGUGGCUCAGUUGGUAAAGAAUCCGCCUGCAGUGAGGGAGACCUGGGUUCAAUUCCUGGUUUGGGAA